rnacentral:rRNA from 1 species
UGGGGAAUAUUGCACAAUGGGCGGAAGCCUGAUGCAGCGACGCCGCGCGAGGGAUGACGGCCUUCGGGUUGUAAACCUCUUUCAGUAGGGACGAAGCGUAAGUGACGGUACCUGCAGAAGAAGCACCGGCUAACUACGUGCCAGCAGCCGCGGUAAUACGUAGGGUGCGAGCGUUGUCCGGAAUUACUGGGCGUAAAGAGCUCGUAGGCGGUUUGUCACGUCGUCUGUGAAAUCCUAGGGCUUAACCCUGGACGUGCAGGCGAUACGGGCUGACUUGAGUACUACAGGGGAGACUGGAAUUUCUGGUGUAGCGGUGGAAUGCACAGAUAUCAGGAAGAACACCGAUGGCGAAGGCAGGUCUCUGGGUAGUAACUGACGCUGAGGAGCGAAAGCAUGGGUAGCGAACAGG